AAGAACAGAUGCCUGUCUGCAGGACACUG
rnacentral:piRNA from 1 species